CUUCUCUUUCCUUAGUUUCUGAUUUUCCUCAUCAGAUUCCUUCUGUUUUGCUUGCAAAGUCUGAAACAAACGCUUCUGCUCCUCAAGCUCUUUCAUUAAGUCACUGUUUUGUCGCUGUUCGUUCUGCAGACGAAGUGUCAGGUUGGCCUCUGCUCCCUUCAAGUGCUCCAGGCAAUUUUUAAGUUCUUUCUUUUGCUCUUUCUCCUGAGUUAUAGUCAUGCAUAACUGGUUAUUC
rnacentral:lncRNA from 1 species